rnacentral:rRNA from 1 species
CCUCAUGAAGUCGGAAUCGCUAGUAAUCGCAUAUCAGAACGAUGCGGUGAAUACGUUCCCGGGCCUUGUACACACCGCCCGUCACACCACGAAAGUUUGUUGUACCCGAAGUCGGUGCCUUAACCUCGCAAGAGGAGAGAGCCGCCCAAGGUAUGGCCGAUGAUUGGGGUGAAGUCGUAACAAGGUAGCCGUAGGGGAACCUGCGGCUGGAUCACCUCCUUUCUAGGAGAGAAGGGUCCUGGAUGAAGCGCUCCUAUUUAGUCUUGUGAAGGAUCCGAGUGGAAGCCGGGACCGGAGAAAGACCGGGCCUGUAGCUCGAGAUGGUGAGAGCGCACGCCUGACUAAGCGUGAGGUCGAUAGUUCGAAUCUAUCCAGGCCCA